rnacentral:rRNA from 1 species
AUUGAACGCUGGCGGCAGGCUUAACACAUGCAAGUCGAGCGGAGAGAGGUAGCUUGCUACUGAUCUUAGCGGCGGACGGGUGAGUAAUGCUUAGGAAUCUGCCUAUUAGUGGGGGACAACAUUUCGAAAGGAAUGCUAAUACCGCAUACGUCCUACGGGAGAAAGCAGGGGAUCUUCGGACCUUGCGCUAAUAGAUGAGCCUAAGUCGGAUUAGCUAGUUGGUGGGGUAAAGGCCUACCAAGGCGACGAUCUGUAGCGGGUCUGAGAGGAUGAUCCGCCACACUGGGAUUGAGACACGGCCCAGACUCCUACGGGAGGCAGCAGUGGGGAAUAUUGGACAAUGGGCGCAAGCCUGAUCCAGCCAUGCCGCGUGUGUGAAGAAGGCCUUAUGGUUGUAAAGCACUUUAAGCGAGGAGGAGGCUACUUUAGAUAAUACCUAGAGAUAGUGGACGUUACUCGCAGAAUAGGCACCGGCUAACUCUGUGCCAGCCGCCGCCGUAACAC